UACGUAGGUGGCAAGCGUUAUCCGGAAUUAUUGGGCGUAAAGCGCGCGCAGGUGGUUUCUUAAGUCUGAUGUGAAAGCCCACGGCUCAACCGUGGAGGGUCAUUGGAAACUGGGAGACUUGAGUGCAGAAGAGGAAAGUGGAAUUCCUGGUGUAGCGGUGAAAUGCGCAGAUAUCAGGAGGAACACCCGUGGCGAAAGCGGCUCUCUGGGACGGUACUGACGCUGAGACGCGAAAGCGUGGGGAGCAACAGG
rnacentral:rRNA from 1 species